rnacentral:rRNA from 1 species
GUGGGGAAUAUUGGACAAUGGGGGGAACCCUGAUCCAGCCAUGCCGCGUGUGUGAAGAAGGCCUUUUGGUUGUAAAGCACUUUAAGCGAGGAGGAGGCUACCGAGAUUAAUACUCUUGGAUAGUGGACGUUACUCGCAGAAUAAGCACCGGCUAACUCUGUGCCAGCAGCCGCGGUAAUACAGAGGGUGCAAGCGUUAAUCGGAUUUACUGGGCGUAAAGCGCGCGUAGGUGGCCAAUUAAGUCAAAUGUGAAAUCCCCGAGCUUAACUUGGGAAUUGCAUUCGAUACUGGUUGGCUAGAGUAUGGGAGAGGAUGGUAGAAUUCCAGGUGUAGCGGUGAAAUGCGUGGAGAUCUGGAGGAAUACCGAUGGCGAAGGCAGCCAUCUGGCCUAAUACUGACGCUGAGGUACGAAAGCAUGGGGAGCAAACAGGAUUAGAUACCCCUGUAGUCC